GACGAACGCUGGCGGCGUGCUUAACACAUGCAAGUCGAACGGAAAGGCCCUGCUUUUGUGGGGUGCUCGAGUGGCGAACGGGUGAGUAACACGUGAGUAACCUGCCCUUGACUUUGGGAUAACUUCAGGAAACUGGGGCUAAUACCGGAUAGGAGCUCCUGCUGCAUGGUGGGGGUUGGAAAGUUUCGGCGGUUGGGGAUGGACUCGCGGCUUAUCAGCUUGUUGGUGGGGUAGUGGCUUACCAAGGCUUUGACGGGUAGCCGGCCUGAGAGGGUGACCGGCGAUCUGGGGACUGAGGGACGGCAGGGGGACCGACGGGGGGCAAAAGUGGGGAGUAUGGCAGAAGGGGCGGAGGGCUGGUGAAGAAACGCCGCGGGGGGGAUGACGGUGUUAGGGUGGUAGAACGAAUGGGCCGGUGACGAGGCGUGAGUGACGGUAAGGGAAAAAGAAGCACCCGCUAACUACGUG
rnacentral:rRNA from 1 species